rnacentral:rRNA from 1 species
ACGCUGGCGGCGUGCUUAAUACAUGCAAGUCAACUUGACUUUAGAUAGCAAUAUCGAAAGUAGGGUGGCGCACGGGUGCGUAACGCGUAGGUAAUCUGCCCUGAGGUCUGACAUAACCCGUCGAAAGGCGGGCUAACAUCAGAUGAUAUAUAGUCACGACAUCGUGGAAAUAUCAAAUCUUCGGAGCCUUGGGAUGAGCCUGCGUCUGAUUAGGUAGUUGGCGGAGUAAUAGCCCACCAAGCCUACGAUCAGUAGCUGGUCUGAGAGGAUGAUCAGCCACACUGGAACUGAGACACGGUCCAGACUCCUACGGGAGGCAGCAGUAAGGAAUAUUGCUCAAUGGGGGAAACCCUGAAGCAGCAACGCCGCGUGAAGGAUGAAAUACUUUUGUAUGUAAACUUCUGUAAGAUGGGAAAAAUAUUCUCCUCGGGAGAAUUGAUUGUACCAUCAGAGUAAGCCCCGGCUAACUACGUG